ensembl:snoRNA Gm22966 small nucleolar RNA SNORA17
ACUUGUCCAUAGAGGCAUUGCAAGUGUGGCUAUUUUGUCACAUGUGCAUUAGUAGGUGGCAGAGAGGAGGGAUGUUAUGUCUAACCUCAGUGUUCUGUCCUAUAAACAUCUAAAUGAUUAGUAGCCUAACAUU